rnacentral:rRNA from 1 species
UACAGAGGUGGCAAGCGUUGUUCGGAAUUACUGGGCGUAAAGGGCGCGUAGGCGGCCAUCUAAGUCAGACGUGAAAUCCCCCGGCUUAACCUGGGAACUGCGUCUGAUACUGGAAGGCUCGAGUUCGGGAGAGGAAUGUGGAAUUCCAGGUGUAGUGGUGAAAUGCGUAGAUAUCGGGAGGAACACCAGUGGCGAAGGCGGCUUUCUGGCCUGUUACUGACACUGAGGAACGAAAGCCAGGGGAGCAAACGGG